rnacentral:rRNA from 1 species
AACCUGCCCUUAACUCUGGGAUAAGCCUGGGAAACUGGGUCUAAUACCGGAUAGGAGCGUCNACCGCAUGGUGGGUGUUGGAAAGAUUUAUCGGUUUUGGAUGGACUCGCGGCCUAUCAGCUUGUUGGUGAGGUAAUGGCUCACCAAGGCGACGACGGGUAGCCGGCCUGAGAGGGUGACCGGCCACACUGGGACUGAGACACGGCCCAGACUCCUACGGGAGGCAGCAGUGGGGAAUAUUGCACAAUGGGCGCAAGCCUGAUGCAGCGACGCCGCGUGAGGGAUGACGGCCUUCGGGUUGUAAACCUCUUUCAGUAGGGAAGAAGCGAAAGUGACGGUACCUGCAGAAGAAGCACCGGCUAACUACGUGCCAGCAGCCGCGGUAAUACGUAGGGUGCGAGCGUUAUCCGGAAUUAUUGGGCGUAAAGAGCUCGUAGGCGGUUUGUCGCGUCUGUCGUGAAAGUCCGGGGCUUAACCCCGGAUCUG